rnacentral:rRNA from 1 species
CCAGCUGCGUGAACUAAUGUGAAUUGCAGGACACAUUGAACAUCGACACUUUGAACGCAUAUUGCGGCCAAGGGUCCGUCCUUUGGCCACGCCCGUCUGAGGGUCGGCGAAGUUCUACCCAUCGCUGGAGGCUCUUUCCAGCGCGUUGAGCUCGCGUAGCAGCUGCUCCGCGUCUCCAAGUGCAGACCCGGUCGUUCCGCCGUGCGGCUCGGUUUCGAGCCGCCUCCGGAAAGGCCGACCUGGAAAUGACCGACCGCUUUUCUUCGUUUCUUUUCCCCCCACCCCCACACUGGGGGUUAAGGAAAAGAAAAAGAAAUGAAGGUGCCCGUCCUCCCGUCGUGGGGCUGAAGGACAUGGCUCGGAUCAACGCCCUCUCGGGGGCCGGCAUGCCUUGGCCCCACCUCUGGCGCCUUUUUCUUUCUUGAUGAAAAGCGAUCGAGCGUCUCUCAUUUCCGACCUCAGAUCGGACGAGAUUACCCGCUGAAUUUAAGCAUAUCAC